rnacentral:miRNA from 1 species
GUACAUGAUGACUAAAAUUUCU